rnacentral:rRNA from 1 species
CCUACGGGAGGCAGCAGUAGGGAAUCUUCCACAAUGGGCGAAAGCCUGAUGGAGCAACGCCGCGUGAGUGAUGAAGGCCUUCGGGUUGUAAAACUCUGUCAUUCGGGACGAACCGGAGUCUGAGGAAAUGCAGACUCUCUGACGGUACCGGAGGAGGAAGCCCCGGCUAACUACGUGCCAGCAGCCGCGGUAAUACGUAGGGGGCAAGCGUUGUCCGGAUUCACUGGGCGUAAAGCGCGCGCAGGCGGUGAUGUAAGUCUGAGGUGAAAACCCGAAGCUCAACUUCGGGACUGCCUUGGAUACUGCGUCACUUGAGGAUAGGAGAGGCAAGGGGAAUUCCACGUGUAGCGGUGAAAUGCGUAGAGAUGUGGAGGAACACCUGUGGCGAAGGCGCCUUGCUGGCCUAUUUCUGACGCUGAGGCGCGAAAGCGUGGGGAGCAAACAGGAUUAGAUACCCUGGUAGUCCACGCUGUAAACGAUGAGUGCUAGGUGUAGGUGGGCUCAUACCCAUCUGUGCCGAAGCUAACGCAUUAAGCACUUCGCGUGGGUUAGGUUACGGUCGCGAGACGAGAACGACGAAGAGUUAGUUAGGACGGNGAGAGACGCGACGACGGACGACGACGGAGGAGGUAG